CAGUAGCCGCGGUAAUACGAAGGGGGCUAGCGUUGUUCGGAUUUACUGGGCGUAAAGCGCACGUAGGCGGAUCGAUCAGUCAGGGGUGAAAUCCCAGAGCUCAACUCUGGAACUGCCUUUGAUACUGUCGAUCUGGAGUAUGGAAGAGGUGAGUGGAAUUCCGAGUGUAGAGGUGAAAUUCGUAGAUAUUCGGAGGAACACCAGUGGCGAAGGCGGCUCACUGGUCCAUUACUGACGCUGAGGUGCGAAAGCGUGGGGGGCAAACAGGAUUAGAUACCCGAGUAGUCCCUGUCUCUUAUAC
rnacentral:rRNA from 1 species